ACCAUUUAACAUCCAAAUAUACAUAUAUAAACCAUCACAUUGUUCAUUACAUAAAAAAUUACAAGUCUAGGCAACUUUUGACCAAAUGUUGACUUUGGUCAACAGUUGACUUUUUGGUCAACUUUUGACCAAAGUCAACCCAAAUCCCUAAUGCCCUAAAUUCAUCCAUUACCAUCCAUAAAAUGUCCAUUACAAAAAAAAACACAAAUUUUGACAUCUUUGACUAAGUGUUGACUUUGGUCAACAUUUGAAUCCAUUACCAUCCAUAAAAUGUCCAUUACAAAAAAAAACACAAAUUUUGACAUCUUUGACUAAGUGUUGACUUUGGUCAACAUUUGACUUUUUGGUCAACUUUGACCAAAGUCAACUCACCCUUUUGUGACUACCUAAGAUCCAAUCUAACCUAAUUUGCCUUAAUUCUUCAUCCAAUAGCCAUGUUGGUUGUCUUUUCCCUUGUUUCUUCAUUUCCAAGUAACUUAGCUUAUUUUCAUAUUCAUGACCGCCAUACCAUGACUUGGAUCUCUUGCCUUGACAGCCCACUUUUACCUUGCUAAACUGGUCUUACAUUCACCAAUAACCAAAUACCCUAAUCACAUGAUCAAAUAUGGCACCUACAUAACCAUUUGGACACAACAAUACACAUGCAUUUGGCUUUGAACUCACAAUGAUGAGAAAGUCUCAUGAAGGUUGUAGCAACUAAAACCAAACCUGCAAAAACCAGUUGGCAGCAUGUUAUAAAUCUCAAAUAAAAGCAAGCCAUGAGGGAAGGUCUAGCUGCUACCUAUCCAAGUCAGGAGGAAAUCUGCUUGCAGCAGACCACUAAUAGGAUCAACAUACACACUGAACCCAACAUGUGUGAAUCCUGUAGAAAAUGUCAAUUCAUGACCAAAAGGAUAGCCAAAUGAUGAAGCAAAAACCAUGACUUGCGUGAACUCAAGGUAGCAAACCAAGAUCAAGGUUACAAAGGAUUUACCUACAGCAGAAUGAAUAAUGCAAAGUUGCCAUGGAACAAGCAACGCUCAGGUGUCAUCCUGCUACAGAAUCAUGAUGCCAUGCUGCAAAAUAUGAGUAGGGCUCAUGACAAACCAAGCAAAAACAAUGUUGAACUAUAGUCACCUGUUGGAAGACUUGGAAAUACAUAAUGAUGAACCUUAGAGCAUGACAUGCCAGGAUUGGUUUCAUACCUGGUGCCAAGCAUGGCAUAAUAAUGGACAUAACCAACGCAAGAUGCAACCUCAGUAUUCAAGAAAUGCUUCAAAAUAGUUUACUAGCAUACAUAACACAUUUCAAGAAUAACAUUUAGCAUUGCGUCAACAAUUCACCAAGCAACUAUCACAUUAAACUACAUUGCAUCAUUCAAGUAGCAGCAGAAAUUCAACAAGUCAGGUUGUAUAGCAUUCACAAGAAAAAGAAGAAAAAACCAAUAAAAUAAGACUGUUAGCAUAACCUAUGCGAUUAGCAGUGCAAUUCAUAAACAACAAACUGCAAUGAACAAUACAGCAACAUAAAACAAAGCCAAUGCACCUCAAAAAACAAUAUGCUACCAGACAAGACCUGCACACAUAUAUCAAACCAUUUUGCAUUAAUGAACCAAACUCCAGCCACAUCAGGGCAUUAUAUUGCAGUUCAAUAAUAUAUACCUCAUGAUUGUCCUACAUGCCUCACAAGAGCCACAUCACUUUGCUUUUUCUUGACCUCACCAUGGCAUUCUCACACCAAACCUACUGCAUAUCAUUGCCUUUCCUUGAGCCAACCAAGAAUUGUGAUGUAACCUGCAGCAAACAACAACACUGGAAGUUCAGUAAGCAUCCCAUAAUCAUGUUCAUCAUGUACAGCAAGCAACAACAUGCCUUGGCAAAUCAUCAUCAAACCAUAACCACUGAAUCAUCAAGCCAUGCACAUAACAGCUAUUGAGCUAACAUCAAACUACAUCAACACCAACAAGCAGCAGACCCAUUGCAGCAGGGACAUGGCAUAUGCUAGCAGAGCAACUUACCAAAACCAUACUCCAACUAAUUGAACCUAACAACCUUGAUAACUUUAUCACCCAAACUAACAGUAGAAGCUCAUUACACUAACAAAGCUAACAAAAUCCCAAACCAACAUCAAAACAUUCCAUUGCACAUGAGCUCAAAAUGGAGAAGGUCACACCAUGAUACUAGUACAAAACACAUGCUAGACAUUCCCGGCACAGAUCAGUACAGAAAGAGAGUUACCCGCAUGAUGACACUUUCCAACAUAGCACGCUCAUCAGAUUCCAGCUGGUGGAUAGGAGAUACAUCUUGUUCCCUGGAAGCAAUAACUAUUAAGCCUCAUGUUCAUGAUCCAUAGGACAAAAAGGACAAGCAAUGGUGCAGACCUGUUUUUUUUAAGGCAUAUCAGUACAUACCCACUGGAAAUGCA
rnacentral:lncRNA from 1 species